AGAAUCAACGCUGGCGGCGUGCCUAACACAUGCAAGUCGAACGAGAAAGGGACUUCGGUCCUGAGUAUAGUGGCGCACGGGUGAGUAACACGUGAAUAAUCUACCUUCGAGUGGGGAAUAACCAAAAGAAAUUUUGGCUAAUACCGCAUAAUACCUACGGGUCAAAGCAGCAAUGCGCGUUGAAGAGGAGUUCGCGGCAGGAUUAGUUAGUUGGCGGGGUAAUGGCCCACCAAGACGAUGAUCUGGUA
rnacentral:rRNA from 1 species